UUUUAUACACCUUCUACAUUCUUAACUCCAACUAGCCCCAUCAACAUUAAAGAAUCCCGUGAAUAAAGAAGGCAGACGACUCUCCAGGAUAUGAGCAAGGGUAAGGAAAUCCUUUUUCUUAAUACCCGACCUUAUUCUUCUUUCAUUUGGAGAUACCCACGGUUCAACACCAACGCACAAAACACGUUGAGAUAAACAUUCAUUUUGUUCGUGAAAAGGUAGAAUUGGGUCAGGUUCGGGUCCUACAUGUUCUUAAGAGGAGCUUUUGGAAGGGACAUCUUUGACUUUAUUGGGGGUUUCACACAGAGGUUUCACUAGGUUUUGAUCAAUUCCGGAUCUCUUGCUUCAGCAAAGAAAAUCUCCACCCAGGGUGUUGCAUUAUAGGCUUAUAGCGGGCUUCUCAUAAAAUAAGGGAGGUUGAUGUCAGCAAGUUUGCCCCAGUCAAAACAGCAAAGUAAAGGCUUCUUGUAUUUACAGGGGAGGUUUAUUACACCAAUUCGGCAGGCAUCCGCAUGGGCACUUGAACUCGAAGAUUCUUAGCACAGCUCUGGAACAAGAAAUGCUCAACUUAAGCCUAUCUAGCAUUAAAAUUGAGUUUGGAAAAACAUGGAAAAAUUUGUAGCAAUAUCUUUUAUAAGAAGCACAGUUUUAAUACGAAGAAGCCAUUUCUUGAAAUAUUGUAUUAUCUUGGCUUUGGCAAACUAAGUGUACAAAAGUUUAUUUAUCAACAUUUUAUAAAUUUAUCACAUUUGCAUGUAUAUAUAGGUAGAAAAGAAAAAACUUAUACAAAUAAAUUUGGACACUUUUUGAUGUCGUGAUAUCGGGCUCAUUAAGAAUUAAAUUCCUGCCAACAAAAAUUUCUAGACGCUUUUAGGCGUCAAGAACAUGAAAUAGGUAAAUGUUGAACGAAGUGAGAAAACAAAUUUUCUCGACGCAUUACUAAUAUCUGGACACUUAAAAGCGUCGAGAUUCUCAACGCCAAACUAGAAAUAGGGGACCAACAAAAAUGUCAAAAGUAUCGAUGAUAAAGCGUCGAGAAAAAUCUCGACUCACUUUUCUCGACGUCUUUUAAAAACGACGAGGACUGAUUUCUCGAUGCUUUCAGCCUCAAAAGAUGGCUAAAAAACCGUCACUAAAACACUGGAUUUGUUGUAGUGAUUAUAACUAUUUGUUAUUCAAUUAUUUAUGAUUUUAUUACUUUUAGGGGGUGUUUGGUUGGGCAUGUUGGAAUGGAGUUAGAAUUCAUUCCAUCCAUUUUAUUGUUUUGUGAGGCUUUUUGUAUGGGAUCUCAUACCGGAAGGGUUCUAAGUUCUAACUACUCCCCAUCCCCCUGCAAUCUCAUACCCACCUCUCACCCCAAGUUUCCCAAUCCAUUCCAUUCAAGUUACAAACCCUAACUCAUAAAAGAUAGAUGAGAGGGGGGGGCAUCCAAGAUUGAACGACGCUCGACUCCGACGACCUGCUUCCCACCACCUCCGUAUCCAACGACCCAUCACCUCCGUAUCCGGCGACUAUGACCAUCAUCUUCUCCAGCGUGGUUGUUUCUUGUUAAAAAGAUAGAUUUAAUUUUGGAGAGGAGGGAAGUCGCGAGCCUAACUUGAAAAUGAAGUUUUUUUCAUACCCCGGUGAGAUUUGCUGCGUCAAACGGUUACUCUAUUGCUUUUUGAAAAAUGAAUCCAAGAGUUUGUUGGCUAUUUCGCCUGUUUUUUUGGAAGAAAACUGGGAUUUUGUAAACUAAGCCUAACUUUUUUUUCCCUUUAUCAUUAAAUAAAAUGUUACAAACUUGAUUUUUGGU